AACGAACGCUGGCGGCGUGCCUAACACAUGCAAGUCGAGCGGGAAAGUUCCCUUCGGGGAGCGAGUACAGCGGCGCACGGGUGNGUAACACGUAGGUAACCUACCCUGGAGACCGGGAUAACCUGCCGAAAGGCGGGCUAAUACCGGAUAAGACCACGAGGGCUGUGGCCCUUGCGGAAAAAGAUGGCCUCUGCUUGCAAGCUAUCACUCUGGGAUGGGCCUGCGCGCCAUUAGCAGUUGGUGAGGUAACGGCUCACCAAGGCCGAGAUGGCUAGCUGGUCUGAGAGGAUGGCCAGCCACAC
rnacentral:rRNA from 1 species